GCCUGGGCGUGGUGGUGCACACCUGUAAUCCCAACAAUCCUGGAGGCUGAGGCAGGAGGAUUGCAAGUUGGAGGCUAGUCUGAGCAACUUAGCCGGACCCAGCCUCAA
rnacentral:sRNA from 1 species